rnacentral:SRP_RNA from 1 species
ACGGGGACUAGUCCGGGUGGUUCGGCGUCACCUGUCACCUGAAACCGUCGGAAUGCAGGGGACGAAGUUUGCGGAAGGCCGAGGCGGGCUUCGGGAGUCGUGAGUCUCCUGACGUUGAAACCUCGUCCCAUGAGGUCGGUGGACAGGGAUCAAGGCUCCGGAGGGAGUGGCGACCUGCUGCUGCGGAGAACGGUUCAGGCCCGGAAGGGAGCAGACUUACCGUAGACAUCCGGCGCCCAUGGGGUUGCGGGGCGGAGGAGGGGGUCUCUGGCGAACGCUGACACGUGCGGUCGACCAAAAACGUGUCCCCAC